CACCAAACGCAAGAGAGAAACCAAGCAAAGCGCUCGCGAAGAAAGAACGAAGACUCUGCUGUGAAUUCUAAGCAAAAGAGACGCGGCACCUAUAAACUAUAAAUAACCCGAAACACCUUCCCACCGCUUCCAAACUCGUCGCCCACGUCCUCUGCCCGCCUCUCUCAUCUCUCCCUCCCACUCCGAUCUCUUUGAUCUCUUCUUCGAUUCUGGAUCUCGUUGCUGCGAGCUCGGCUCGAUCCGUGGAGCCGUCGGUGCGGAUCGGGGAAGCGAGGGAUUGCUCGAAUCUGAUUGGGGGAGGGAGAGAGAUCUCGGCGCCUCGACACGGUGAAAAGCGAAUGCGGGAUUUUGGAAUUGGGUUUUAGGUUUGUCUCCAUCGGAUUAUCUCUGGUUUCGGAUUAACAGGUCAGAAGUGCUUAAUUGGGGUUCUUUGAGGUGGAGAUCUCCGGUAUUGAUAGAUCUGGAGCUGCGAUCAUGGUGUACGGGGGUUUUCUCUGAUGUCACCAUUGCCCACAAAGCUUCAAUUUUUUAAUCUUCCAGUACUGUAGUUGCAUCUUUUAGUUGGGAAAGACUUAUCGCUGAGAUGAAAAACGGGAUGAUAGAAUGCAGUGUCUGCCAUUCCAAAUUGCUUUCCCCAAGCACCAGAACUGUGUCAAGGGCAUACGACAGGCAUAGAAGCAAGAUAUCAUCAAAGACUCGUGCUCUUAACAUUCUUCUCGUUGUAGGUGACUGCAUUUUGGUUGGCCUGCAGCCAAUUUUAGUUUAUAUGUCUAAGGUGGAUGGGAAAUUCAUGUUUAGUCCAGUCAGUGUUAACUUUUUGACAGAGGCUGCAAAGGUUCUCUUUGCCAUCGUCAUGCUAUUGUUCCAGGCUAGACAUCAAAAGGUUGGAGAGAAAUCCCUACUUUCAGUUUCUACAUUCAUCCAGGCAGCUCGUAAUAAUGCCCUUCUUGCUGUUCCUGCUCUUCUGUAUGCCAUCAACAAUUAUCUAAAGUUUAUCAUGCAGUUAUACUUCAAUCCAGCUACUGUGAAAAUGUUGAGCAAUCUGAAGGUUUUGGUAAUAGCUGUCCUCUUAAAGAUCAUAAUGAGAAGGCGCUUUUCCGUAAUUCAGUGGGAGGCUCUUGCACUUUUGCUAAUUGGAAUCAGUGUUAAUCAGCUCCGGUCACUGCCUGAGGGUGCUACCACACUUGGUCUUCCAGUUGCAACGGUUGCGUACAUAUAUACAGUAGUUUUUGUCACUGUUCCAUCAUUGGCCUCAGUUUACAAUGAGUAUGCUUUAAAGAGCCAAUUCGAGACAAGUAUAUAUCUUCAGAACCUAUUUUUAUAUGGUUAUGGAGCAAUAUUCAACUUUCUUGCCAUCCUAGGAACUGCCAUUUUCAAAGGGCCUGGUAGUUUUGACAUCCUUCAAGGCCACUCGAAGGCCACAAUGCUUCUUAUAUGCAACAAUGCAGCACAGGGCAUACUUUCUUCAUUCUUUUUCAAAUAUGCAGACACAAUUUUGAAGAAAUAUUCAUCUACUGUUGCCACUAUUUUUACUGGGAUAGCAUCUGCUGCAUUGUUUGGUCAUACAUUGACAAUAAAUUUUAUUUUGGGAAUCUCAAUAGUGUUUAUAUCGAUGCACCAGUUCUUUUCUCCACUUGCAAAAGUGAAAGAUGAGGCACCAAAUGGAACAUUAGAAAUGAUGGAUGUUCAAAAUCUUAGGUCAAAGGAAGCUUCUUUUAUAAAUAUGACUGCUGGUGCAGCUGAAGAUGCUAGUCACCAUGUUGGACCCGAUGAGAGAGAACCACUUCUGCCCAAAUAGUGUUACUUUGGAGGGCAAAGGCUGAACGAAGCACAAGCUAAUGAUUUCAAAAGUGAUAUAAAUAGAAUCACGAUCCUGAUGGAUGAAAUCUUGAAAGCAUCUGGCAACAAGGAGGUGGAAUGGAUCUGUGCAAGUUGCUGUAAACCAAAUGUAAAGGGUUUUGCAACCAGAUCUAUGGGUCGAUAUGGUAUUUUUCUGAAACAGAUUCAUUUGUUGGGGUAUGGUUUAGAGAUGAACCAGUUCUUAACGGAAAUAAUGGAAAAGAAAAACACCAUCACAAAGGAAAAACAAGAAUUAUAUAUAUAUAUAUAUAUAUAUGUCUUUUUAGCCUGCAACUAAAAAGGUUGUAGGUUUCCUGAAGGCAAGAUAAGACAUUGCCUAGAAAGGUUGUGGGGGACCAAGAUCGCGUUCAGGCUGCAGAGAAGUCACAUUGUCAGCUGCUGGCUUAUUCUUUUGUACCGGAAUUCCCUAGUGAUCAGAUGACAGGCAUAGUGUUUCAUUUUUCCUCUGUUGUAUUCUGUUUCUGACUUAAUUCUUUCAUGUGAUUAAGAGGUCUGGAUUCUUUAUGUCGACAUAUUUCUCAUCCUUGUAUAUUUCUUCGGGCAACUUUAUCAGGUAUCUUGUGUUGGUA